AACGAACGCUGGCGGCAUGCCUAACACAUGCAAGUCGAACGAGACCUUCGGGUCUAGUGGCGCACGGGUGCGUAACGCGUGGGAACCUGCCCUUAGGUUCGGAAUAACUCCCCGAAAGGGGUGCUAAUACCGGAUAAUGUCUUCGGACCAAAGAUUUAUCGCCUUUGGAUGGGCCCGCGUUGGAUUAGCUAGUUGGUAGGGUAAAAGCCUACCAAGGCGACGAUCCAUAGCUGGUCUGAGAGGAUGAUCAGCCACACUUGGAAUGGGACACGGCCCAGACUCCUACGGGAGGCAGCAGGGGGGAAUGUUGGAAAAGGGGCGAAAGCCUGAUCCAGCAAGGCCGCGGGAGGAAGGAAGGGCUUGGGGUUGUAAAACUCUUUUACCCGGGAGGAUAAUGACAGUAAGGGGAGAAAAAGCCCCGACUAACUCCGG
rnacentral:rRNA from 1 species